ACUAGAAUGGCCGAAAAAGGUAAUAAACUGUAAAUUUAUUAAUAAGUUAAUACUUUUCUGGUA
rnacentral:tRNA from 1 species